rnacentral:rRNA from 1 species
GCGUAUAUUAAAGUUGUUGCAGUUAAAACGCUCGUAGUCGGGUUUCGGGUCGGGCCGAGCGGUCUGCCGAUGGGUAUGCACUGUUUGGCGCGGCCUUCUUUCCGGAGACCGCGGCUACUCUUAACUGAGCGGGCGUGGGAGACGGAUCGUUUACUUUGAAAAAAUCAGAUUGUUUCAAGCAGGCAGCUCGCUCUUGCAUGGUACAGCAUGGGAUGAUUGAAUAGGACUCCGGUGCUAUUUUGUUGGUUUCGAACACCAGGAGUAAUGAUUAACAGGGACAGUCAGGGGCACUCGUAUUCCGUCGAGAGAGGUGAAAUUCUCAGACCAAUGGAAGACGAACCACUGCGAAAGCAUUUGCCAGGGAUGUUUUCACUGA